rnacentral:tRNA from 1 species
GCGUUUAGCUCAGCUGGUUCAGAGCAUCUGCCUUACAAGCAGAGGGUCGGGGGUUCGAAUCC